GUGCUCACUUUGGCAGCACAUAUACUAAAAUUGGAAAUGAUCCAGAGAAGAUUAACAUAGGCUUCCCUGUCUAGGUACAACUUCACAAGACACAUUUGUUAACAGCUUUU
rnacentral:snRNA from 1 species